UACAGAGGGUGCAAGCGUUAAUCGGAAUUACUGGGCGUAAAGCGCACGUAGGCGGUUUUUUAAGUCAGAUGUGAAAGCCCCGGGCUCAACCUGGGAAUUGCAUUUGAAACUGGGAAACUAGAGUGUGAGAGAGGGGGGUAGAAUUCCAAGUGUAGCGGUGAAAUGCGUAGAGAUUUGGAGGAAUACCAGUGGCGAAGGCGGCCCCCUGGCACAACACUGACGCUCAGGUGCGAAAGCGUGGGGAGCAAACAGG
rnacentral:rRNA from 1 species